GCACGGCGUGCUCAUCACGGUCGACCCGCACGCGCCAUUAGUUGAGUGUGUUCCGUUGGUGUGGACGCAGUUCUACGUUUCUCUGUUUACCUGUGUGCUGGAGUGCCGUCGGCCAUCUUCCAAUUGUAAUUGAAGAAAUGCCAGUGAGAUUAAGUGACGUUCAUGAGUUACAAUGCACAGGGUGAGAGUUCAUGGGAAUUCGACCAGCAACCCGCUAAGGUGGACUAAGACGACAGCUGGACUGAAAUAUGCAGAAC